GAACAGUGAAAAUCGUCGUCUUCUGCUCUAUACCGAUAAUGCCUACCCAAAUUAAUCACAGGAUUCUAAUCAGAAUUUUAGGGUGUCGAUUUUUGUUAUUAAUCGCAAGCGAUAAUGCUUGAUGGUUCCGGAAUAUUGAAUGAUUGUGUUCGGUUAUUGUAGGAGGUUAGUGCUCCAGUCGCUCCGUUUCUAAACACAGGUUGUAAGUUGUUUUGGAAAGCAGAGUAUUUUAAUGUCCAUUAUAUAAAUUUGGCUCACUGUAAGCUUUGUUGAAAAUGUGUUGAAUGGGUACACUCCUCCCUUUGAUGCAGUAUGUUUAAUGCUGUUGUAGGUCAUUUGCAAAUGGGCGAACUGUCACUGCAGUGUUUCAUCAUAUUAUCAUAUAUAUAUAUCAUGUAUUUUACUCUGUAUUAUUCUUGUGGAACAGCAAAACGUAUUUUCUGACUUCUGGUUUUAACCUUGGAUACAGUACCCAAAAUUGUCUUGUUUUUCACGUGGGAUUCUAAUUUUCUGUAGACGCUAAAGAGUUAUCAGGAAAAAAAAAUUGAAGCCUUUCUAAUCCCUUAUGUUUUAAACCUUUUUGCUGCACUCCCAGCCAGAAAUACUACCUCUUAAUGGCAUCUAAGGUCUAUUGGAAGAAUUGAAGGCUUACAACUAUUUUUAUUUAUUUAUUUUCAUGAAAUCUUACAAAUAUUUAUUAUAAUGUGUUUUUAUUCAGACCUUUUUUUCUUUUCUCUUUCUGAUUUUGCGUUUUUUUCUGCUCAAAGACAGGCAGAAAUAUUUCAGUUUGUCACAUUGUUGACAUUGUUUGUCCUUGGCAAUGCUUUUGAAGCAUGGCAUGUUAAUGUUAUGCAGCUAUCCGAAACUGUAAGGAGUCCAGAGAGGAGUUGGUGUCACCAUUAUACAUGUGGAUCAAAAUUCUGUUUUUACCUUGUUGCAGGAAGACUUUCCAAUUGUUCCAUCUGUGCUCAACGUCAGCUAAGCAGCCUAUGUGUCACCUGAUGUAUGCUGAAUUGGCGUCACAGCACACAGCAUGAGAAAUGGCCCUUUUUUCUUGUCAUCACAGGAAUAAAUCUGGUAUCCAGAUUAGCCCCAAGUCACCAGCAGAAACAAGCCGGCUACUUGAGGAAGACUUACUCUUAUAAUGUAAAUGAUUUGAAACAAUAAAGAAAAGAAAAUCACUA